GACGAACGCUGGCGGCGCGCCUAACACAUGCAAGUCGAACGAGCGAGAGAGAGCUUGCUUUCUCGAGCGAGUGGCGAACGGGCGAGUAACGCGUGAGGAACCUGCCUCAAAGAGGGGGACAACAGUUGGAAACGACUGCUAAUACCGCAUAAUGUUUCCGAUCCGCAUGGAUUGGAAACCAAAGCUUUAUGUGCUGAAAGAUGGCCUCGCGUCUGAUUAGAUAGUUGGUAGGGUAACGGCCUACCAAGUCAACGAUCAGUAGCCGGUCUGAGAGGAUGAACGGCCACAUUGGGACUGAGAUACGGCCCAG
rnacentral:rRNA from 1 species